UUGAGCCGUAUGCCGGGAAACUGGCACGUACGGUUCUUAGGGGAGGAUGCGGCGGCAACGCCGUGUCCUUACCCGAC
rfam:Burkholderia sp. TSV85 TSV85_4, whole genome shotgun sequence.